rnacentral:rRNA from 1 species
UACGUAGGGUGCGAGCGUUAAUCGGAAUUACUGGGCGUAAAGCGUGCGCAGGCGGCUUUGCAAGCCAGACGUGAAAGCCCCGGGCUCAACCUGGGAAUGGCGUUUGGGACUGCGAGGCUGGAGUGCGGCAGAGGGAACUGGAAUUCCUGGUGUAGCAGUGAAAUGCGUAGAUAUCAGGAGGAACACCGAUGGCGAAGGCAGGUUCCUGGGCCAGCACUGACGCUCAUGCACGAAAGCGUGGGGAGCAAACAGG